GCGCGACAGCUUCCACCCGCCUCAGGCAGUAUCAGCCGCGCCGCAGUCGGAGGAAAUAGACGCGGGGCCUGAGGCUCCUGGACUUGAGAGGCUGCAGAAAAGGCCCAGGAGGCUGUUGAUGACAUGAACGACCACCAGGAGAAGCUGGAGCAGGCUGAUGCACAGAAGGGCGGAGAAGAGGGACACGUGCCAGACAACAGCUGCAGAGGGCUCCAGGCAGACGGAGUUCCAGAGCGAACGGUCAUACAGAUAAUUCCUAUCCCAAAAAAUAAGGAGACCAGGGGUCAGGCGAUAAGUAAGGAAAGCCAAACAGGCAACCCCAGUAGAAAACUGGGGUCUCCCCUGACCGGGUCAUGGGACUGGGCUCAUGAGGGUGACCGUUACUGCUCCAUUUGCAAUUUUCUGAGUAUCAGAGGAGCAAGAUGCUAGGAUGUGUGACCCAAAGGAGCUUGUAGUUCGUCUGUGUGUCUUUUUGUCUCUCUCUCUCUCUCUGUCUGAAAAGACCAAGCCCAAGCCUCCACCCAUUUACCUACUAUGCAGGUCUUUGAAUGGGUAACCAUAUUUCCAAGCUUGUGUCUGAUUGAAGGAUGAAACAUCAAACAUGCAAAAAGGACCAUCUUUCAGAGCAACUCCAGAAGUGACAAAGCAAAUCAGGGCUCCAAGUAAAGCCAGGCCACCUGACAACAGAGCAGUAAGCACCUGCGGAGGGAGGAGAAACACUGAGCUAAGACGGGGUCGCAGCUGGGGAGCCUGCGGAGGGAGGAGAAACGCUGAGCUAAGACGGGGUCGCAGCUGGGGAGUCUGUGGGGCGGUCUGCACAGGUCUGACUUCUCUGGUCUCAGUGUUCUUCCGUCCUGUCAUGGGGGAGAAUUCUGUCCAUGGCACCCCCUUUGAAGCAUAACCCAUGGUGGGGAGGCCGUGAGGGGUUUCUAGGAGAGAAAGGACCAAGAAGCAGAAUCGCAGGCCCCGGAUCUCCCUGACCGUGAGUUCGCCUGAGCUGCUCAGCAGCUUGGCAUCACAAACCUUUUGCACAUUACAGCCAUUCAGCCUCUGAGCUAAAGAAGAAGCUACCACAGGCCCACCACUGACUCUUCUAAGGAAAAGCUGCAUUUUCAAAAGUUCCAGGUUCCCAACUCUGAUUCUUCUCUAUUUCAAAUCAAGGAUAAAAAAAAGGAAGGGAGGGAAGGAAGGAAAGAAAGAAGCAGGAAAGAAGGGAAGGAGAGAAGUGGGAGGGAGGGAAAGAAGGGAGAGAAACAGCGAGAGAGAAGCUGCAGCCAAGCUCUGAAAUGACUCCACUUCUGUCGCUGUGUUUCUCCAGCUGAGAGCUUUCUUGGCCAUCAGUCUGUGCUCCCACUGCCCUCCCAGAAAAUAACUGGGUUUCCUUCCUUGACAGGUUUCUAGCCUGCUUCUACAUUGGCUUCUUUCUCGUUCCUUCCUUCCUUCCCUUCCUUCCUUCUUUCUCUCUCUCUCUUUCUUUUUGAGACAGAGUCUCACUCUGUCGCCCAGGCUGGAGUGCAGUGGCACGAUCUCAGCUCACUGCAACCUCUGCCUCUGAGUUCAAGCGAUUCUCCUGCCUCAGCCUCCCAAGUAGCUGGGACUACAAGCAUGCGCCACCACACCCAGCUAAUUUUUGUAUUUUUAGUAGAAAUGGGGUUUCACUGUGUUGGUCAUGCCGGUCUCAAUCUCCUGACCUUGUGAUCCACCUGCUUCAGCCUCCCAAAGUGCUGGGAUUACAGGCAUGAGCCACCGUGCCCGGCCCAUAUUGGAUUCUUUCUUAGGGUUCUAGAUUUUUUUCUCCCUCCCCCAAAAAUGCCUAUUUUAAAAAUGUG
ensembl:lncRNA TM4SF19-AS1 TM4SF19 antisense RNA 1